rnacentral:lncRNA from 1 species
CAUAUUUCCCCAAAAGAGACUGGUAUUGUAACUGCCCCCUGCAAACUGCCCUGUCUUGGGGAGUCUGAAGACCUGCACUCAGCAGUAGGUGUUACUUAUUCCCCUUUCUGCAGAAUCUCAGAAGGUUUCUAAUUGGAUGGUUUGGUUUUGCUGGCCCAUGGAGAAUCUGUUUGUUUGUUUGUGUGAGUUUCUCUCUAUAUAUGCAUACAAUAAAAACAGCAGAAUGACACUAGCUAUUCUUAGUUAAGAAUUGGUUAUGGAAUAUAAACGCUGAAAAUUCAGAAGGAAAAGAGACAUUUUUUAAGGGUUUUUGAUUAUCUAUAUCCCCACUGUCCCCUAUCACUGUGUCCAGCUUUCUGUGGUUUCUUUCUCUAUUUUCAAAAACAUCUGUAGAGCAGUGAAGGACUUACGAGGUAACAACCUUCAUCUGUGUGGUUAUACAUUCAAAUGUGACUGCGGAGUAGAAGCCUGAAAUGAAAGGGCUUAUUAAUAACAUUUUUUAUUCAUACAGAAGUAAGAAAAGGCUUCGUCUGUUCAUCCCUUGAUUGUCUUUUUCUUUUCAAUUACCUUUCCUAAAAGGAAGUUUAAUGUUGUCUCUGGAUUCCUGCAGGUCUCCAGUCUAAAAGAAAAGGAAAGAAAACCAAACAAAACACUUUCAUCUUCAGGUAGGCUCUAUCAGUAUGGAACUGGAGAGUCAUAUAAUGACAGCCUACGCGUUUUCACUUUAGGGAAGAAAGUGUUUUACAGCAUAAAAGAAAUUGCUGCAGUGACCCAGGGGAGCUGCCAAUGUUUCCUGGAUGAGGACAAUUAACCAAAACAAUAUCAUUAAUUUUGCCACAGGUUUUAAAUGAUCUAGAAAGCAGAAUACAAACUUUGUCUUAAUAGACUCAAGUUAGACUCUGCAACAGAAGGAAAUUUCAGUAAAAUCCUGCAGCAGCCAGGGCUGUGAAUGAGAAACCAACACACCUGCAGGAAUAGAUAUGCAUGAAUCUUAAUGGUGCAACUGAACUUCUGUUAUCUGGGUUUAGAAGGGAAUAGCCUAGACCAGCACAGACCAGCACUGCUAUGUGCUCCAGCUGGCGCCAGUGUCACAGCUAGAAUCCUGGAGAUCUGACACCAGUAAUCACCUGCACAGUGCCUUUCCCUCCUACAAGGGUCUCCUGACAUACAGAUUUGCAUCACAACAGGCAUUGCCCUAAGAAAAUAUUAGCUCCACUUCACAGAUAAGGAAGUAGAAGUCCAUGACUUAUUCCCGCUUACACACCAGUCUCCAGGAAUGGUCCCUGCUGAAAUUUAAUUCCCACCUAACUGUGCUUACAGCGAUUUUAGAAAUUAUCAGCUUUGUGAGCCCCUUAGCCUUGGAAGUUUGAAAUCCCCAAGAAGAAAAGAGCUAGAUACAGAGUGAGGAACCAACAGGGAGAAUUGGAAAAAUUCCCUGCUCAUCGGCCGACUCCAGGCACUGCCUUGCUCAACCCCGCUGCUCCACACGUGCGGGCAGGGCUCUUGCUCAGGAGAACAACCCUUGGCUGCCUGUAGUGACAAGGCCUGUAGCAUUCAGGCUGGCAGCACUCCAGCCUGUGCGAUAGACGCUGUGGUAUACACAGAUCCUAGCUGGUUAUAACUGCAGUGCUUUAGUCAAAUACUUGUGCCAGGGUAUUGUUGCCUGCCACUGCCAUUUGCCAGGGGAGCAUGAGGCUGUGAUGGAUGCACACACCCCACCUGAGAGCAUGCCAGCCAGCCAGCGCGCUGAAGAGCCACAGCAACAAGGUACCAUUUUCCAAGAGCCUUUUUUUUUUUUUUUUUUUUUUUUG